UACGUAGGGGGCAAGCGUUGUCCGGAAUCAUUGGGCGUAAAGCGCGUGUAGGCGGCCGCGACAGUCGGAUGUGAAAGCCCUGGGCUCAACUCAGGAAGUGCACCCGAUACUACGUGGCUCGAGUACCGGAGAGGUUGGUGGAAUUCUCGGUGUAGAGGUGAAAUUCGUAGAUAUCGAGAGGAACACCUGUGGCGAAGGCGGCCAACUGGACGAGUACUGACGCUGAGACACGAAAGCGUGGGGAGCAAACAGG
rnacentral:rRNA from 1 species